UCCUUAGAUGUCCUGGGCUGCACGCGCGCUACACUGAUGUGUCCAGUAAGCACCUAACCUCUUCCGAAAGGAACGGGUAACCUUUGCAAAGCACAUCGUGAUGGGGAUAGAUUAUUGCAAUUAUUAGUCUUGAACGAGGAAUUCCUAGUAAGCACAAGUCAUCAGCUUGUGUUGAUUACGUCCCUGCCCUUUGUACACACCGCCCGUCGCUCCUACCGAUUGAAUGUUCCGGUGAGCUCUUCGGACUGCGCGGUCUGCAGUUUCUGCGUUCCGUGCGGAAAGUUGCGCAAACCUUAACAUUUAGAGGAAGGAGAAGUCGUAACA
rnacentral:rRNA from 1 species